rnacentral:rRNA from 1 species
GGUGAGUAACAUAUCGGAACGUACCCAGUCGUGGGGGAUAACUAUCCGAAAGGAUAGCUAAUACCGCAUACGUCCUGAGGGAGAAAGCGGGGGAUCGCAAGACCUUGCGCAAUUAGAGUGGCCGAUGUCUGAUUAGCUAGUUGGUAGGGUAAAGGCCCACCAAGGCGACGAUCAGUAGCUGGUCUGAGAGGACGACCAGCCACACUGGAACUGAGACACGGUCCAGACUCCUACGGGAGGCAGCAGUGGGGAAUUUUGGACAAUGGGCGCAAGCCUGAUCCAGCCAUUCCGCGUGAGUGAAGAAGGCCUUCGGGUUGUAAAGCUCUUUCGCAAGGGAAGAAAACUUAGCCUCUAACAUAGGCUGAGGUUGACGGUACCUUGAUAAGAAGCACCGGCUAACUACGUGCCAGCAGCCGCGGUAAUACGUAGGGUGCGAGCGUUAAUCGGAAUUACUGGGCGUAAAGCGUGCGCAGGCGGCUUUUUAAGCCAGAUGUGAAAUCCCCGGGCUUAACCUGGGAACUGCAUUUGGGACUGGAAGGCUAGAGUGCGGCAGAGGGGGGUAGAAUUCCACGUGUAGCAGUGAAAUGCGUAGAGAUGUGGAGGAAUACCGAUGGCGAAGGCAGCCCCCUGGGUCGACACUGACGCUCAUGCACGAAAGCGUGGGGAGCAAACAGGGUUAGAUACCCUGGUAGUCCACGCCCUAAACGAUGUCAACUAGUUGUUGGAGGAGUGAAAUCCUUUAGUAACGAAGCUAACGCGUGAAGUUGACCGCCUGGGGAGUACGGUCGCAAGAUU